rnacentral:rRNA from 1 species
CCUGACUGCUAUGGGGAUUGGAUUAAGCUAUGCGAGUGGAGCGGACUUGGCUAUGAAAGUCCGCCGCAUACGGCUCAGUAACGCGUAGUCAACUUACCCUUCGGAUGAGAAUACCCCCGGGAAACUGGGGUUAAAUCUCAAUAAGUAUCCAAGGCUGGAACGCAUGGAUACACAAACAGGGCACUAUCAUGCUUGUGUCACUGCCGAAGGAUAGGACUGCGUCCUAUCAGCUUGUAGGUAGUGUAAAGGACUACCUAGGCGAUAACGGGUACCGGCGAUGUAAGUCGGAGCCGGGAGAAGGACACUUAGACAAGGGUCCUGGCACUACGGUGCGCAGCAAGCGCGAAACCUCUUCAAUACGCGAAAGCGUGAAAGGGCAAUCCCCAGUGCCUACCUAUAAAGUGGGCUUUUCAAUACUGUAAGUAAGUGUUGGAAUAAGGCGAGGGCAAGGCUGGUGCCAGCCGCCGCGGUAAAACCAGCUCGUCAAGUGGUUAGGAUGAUUAUUGAGGCUAAAGCGUCCGUAGAUGUUCUAGCAAACCCCUGGUUAAAUCCACCUGCUCAACAGGUGGGCCGCUAGGGGGACUACUAGAAUCGGAGACGGGAGAGGUAGAGGGUACUACGCGGGAAGGGGUGGAAUCCUAUAAUCCGCGUGGGACCACCAGUGGCGAAGGCGCUCUACUAGAACGUGCUCGACAUUGAGGGACGAAACCUGAGGGAGAGAACCGGAUUAGAUACCCGGGUAUUCUCAGGCGUAAACGAUGCCGGUUAGGUGUUGACUCGACCAAGAGUCGAGUCAGUGCCGUAGCGAAGGCGUUAAACCGGCCCCUUGGGAAGUACGGCCGCAAGGCUGAAAC